AUACGUAGGGUGCGAGCGUUGUCCGGAAUUACUGGGCGUGAAGAGCUCGUAGGUGGUUUGUCGCGUCGUCUGUGAAAUUCCGGGGCUUAACUCCGGGCGUGCAGGCGAUACGGGCAUAACUUGAGUACUGUAGGGGAGACUGGAAUUCCUGGUGUAGCGGUGAAAUGCGCAGAUAUCAGGAGGAACACCGGUGGCGAAGGCGGGUCUCUGGGCAGUAACUGACGCUGAGGAGCGAAAGCAUGGGUAGCGAACAGGAUUAGAUUCCCUGGUAGUCCAUGCCGUAAACGGUGGGCGCUAGGUGUAGGGGUCUUCCACGACUUCUGUGCCGUAGCUAACGCAUUAAGCGCCCCGCCUGGGGAGUACGGCCGCAAGGCUAAAACUCAAAUGAAUUGACGGGG
rnacentral:rRNA from 1 species